rnacentral:SRP_RNA from 13 species
GCGCGGGGCCGGAGACCAAGCAGGAACAAGUGGCUGCGCUGAAGCGCAUCGCGAGCGCCCUCCGCGCGGCGG